UGGGUUGGCCAAAAAGUUCGUUUGGCUUUUUCCAUAACAUCUCACAGAAAAACUCUAACUUUUUGGCCAACCC
rnacentral:miRNA from 1 species